rnacentral:tRNA from 1 species
GCCGGAAUGGCGGAAUUGGUAGACGCACGGGACUUAAAAUCCCGCGGGACUAACCUCUCGUACCGGUUCAAGCCCGGUUUCCGGCA